AGUGUGCGUUAUGGCGGCCAAUACCUCGGCUUGCACAAAGCUGCCUGUCAGCUUUCCUAAGACACCAGCACUGGGACGGACUACAUUUGCUUUUUCUCGAUUUCCAAUUAAUUAAUCUCGGAAACACAAACAGCAGCUGAUUUUUUUGUUGUUGUUGUUCGCUUGAAAUUACUAUUUAAGGCAAAGACACUGGAGUGAAACACGAGUGUGUUCUAGAAGUAAUGGUUUAGUUGUUAUCUUCAGUUGCUUAGCGACUAAUUAGACAAGAAGAGAACUUGUGGGUGGGGAUUAUUUGCGUUUUAGAACGGCAGAAACCAGGGGCAAAUGAAAAUGAGUUCAGGGGCUAGCGUUUAGAAUCAAUCUAAUUAAAUCUCAGUGCUGGGGAAGUAAGCAGCGCUAAAGAGGAACAGUAGGCAGUUAAGGUUCACAGGUGGGUUAAAUUAAGCCGAGUUUUUGUUGUAAUUUUUCCGUACCAUAUGGAUUGCUUUCUCAUUCCCCGUUGUUUUGGCGGCGACAAAUUCGGAUCUUUAACCAGCAGAGGGCGAGUCGACUGCAUUUUUCAGCCCUCAGACACUCCCUCUUCCUCCCUUCUCUGCCCCUGGGAAAUUAAUUUACUAAGCUCUUCAAAUACAGACGAAGCUGAGGAAGGUGUUGUGGAAGGCGAGCAGCGCGCAGGACUUGGCAGAGUGCCCGCCCUGUCAGCCUUGGAUGUGUGGCUGCACCGCACUCCUGACGACACGGAUCUCCUUGCUUGGGGCUGCAGAGGGGAUUGCAGGGGUUGUUGCAGUAGGAAGCGGGGAUGAAAAGCACCCCCAUGCCCAGACGCCAUAGAUAUUUAGGAUCACUAGCUUCAGAGAACUGAGAGGGCCAGAGGUAGCCUAAUAAAAUGAAUGUAAACCAUGAAGUUGGAAAA
ensembl:lncRNA novel transcript